rnacentral:lncRNA from 1 species
GCUGCAUACUCGGUUGGGUAGCUCCCCCGAGUGCCACUCCUGUAACAUACCAGAUUUGGUAUAAAAAUAAAAAUAAAUAAAAAUAGUGUGAGAAACUAUUUUUAUUGGAUUUAUAGAAGUAAAACAUAAGUCAGAAAUGACUUGUGCUGAAAUCGAAAUGAAAACAGAAGAUCUGAAAUUUUCUGUUGGAAACGGGACAGAUAAAUUAGCAGAAAAUGCACAGUCUCAGAAAAUUAUAAAAAUUGGAGGAUAAGUCAGAAAUAUUUUUAUGAGGCUAGAUUUAAAGUUUCAUAUUUUUCUGACACCCGUAGAGUGAGAAUUAAAAUCCGACAGCUAUUUGAUAAAGAUUACAGUUCGGUACAGUUUUCGGUGACCAAAUGGGGUCGAAACUGAAAACUUAAAAUAUAUUCUUGCUCAGUACGUAAAACUGAACAUGACUGUCAAGUUUGAGCUCAAACGGACAUUCGGGAAGGUUCGGCGAAAGUUAUCAGAUUUCAAGCUACCUGGAGUGAAUAGUGUUUAAGGGGUAUUAUGAAGAAGCUGUUGCUUCUUCUUCUCCUUCGGCCGCACACCACACACGCACACGACACACACACACGCAAGGAAAGGGAAAGAGAGAGAGAACUCCUUUUCUCUCUCUAGAUCUCUCCCAAAAUUGAAGGUUUUGGUGGAGAAGCAAGCUUGGAAGUUGAUCUUCAUCUUCUUUAUCUUCUUCCUCUCCAUUAGAGCAAGCUUUGAAGGUAAGCUUCAAACCCUUUAAUGGCAUUUCUCUCUAGUUUGGUAUUUAAGCUCUAAGAAUGGGUUUAGAGGUAUUCUAGCAUGCUAAUUAGAGGUUUGAUGCUUGAAACCAAGGCUCUAAUGGUUUAGAGGUAUUCUAGCAUGCUAUUUAUAAUUUAGGGCUCAAAAAUGCUAGUUUUGUAAAUAUGAGGGUUUGAUCUCAUUUGACCCUCUGUAAACCUAAUUGCUAGGUAAACGAACGCGUUGGCGAAGACGGUUCGGCGAUUCGUCGAGCCGUUGCGAAGUUAUUAAAGAAACAGACAUUUAGGCUUCGUUUUCGCCUGGAGGGCCGAGGCGAUAUCGUAAAUUCAUGAAAAUGGAUUUGAAGCACCGUGGCACAUAACCGAAGACCUUUAAUUUUCGGAUCAUGGAUUAGAGGCCGUUCGGGUGGUCGCGCGAGAGAUCUGGCCAAACCGGAUGCCGGGUGCCGCGGGAGGCCGAUUGCAAGUGUCGACAAGCAAUCGGAAUGCGAAAUGAGGUGGGUUGUGUUUACCGAAGCGACUAGGUCACCUCUAUGUCUAAGAGAAAUGAGAUUUCAUAUUGAUGCAUGUUGACAUAUAAUGUGAAAUGCUAGAGAAAUGUAUUUGACAUAAUGUAAGAAUGUGAAAAGAAUGCAUGUUAGCAUAAUAUAGAAAUGAUAGAUAAAUGCAUGUGAUUAAUGCUUUGAAUGCAUAAGAUAAAGGGCAUAUGAAUGUUAACAUCAUAAGAACAUGAAAGAAAGGAAUGCAUGAUGACUUAGUGUAAAUAGUGCUAGAUGAAUGCAUUGAGUAAUGCUAAGUUCAUGUAUGAUAAGCAUGCAUGUGGAUAAUGCUAAGUAAUGGUAUGAUAAGCAUGAUGUAGAAAUAAUAAAUGCAAGCACAUGGUUAAUGCUAAGAAUAUGGAUGAUGACAUGAUAAAAAUGCUAAGUUCAUGUAUGAUAAGCAUGUUUUAGGGAUGCUAAAAUAAGAAUGCUAAGUAAAUGACAUAUUGUAUGUGAUAGAUGAACUAUGCAUGUUGUAGGAUGAACUAUGCAUGUUGACAUGUACAUGUUAAACUUUGGGUCGAUAACUCUAGGUUGAUUAGAGAACUCGACAUUGGAAAACUAGUAUAAUGUGCAUAUGGACAAUCUAUAUACAUUAGAUCGAGUGGCAUUAAACCUAGUGUCUUGAACAUAGGUUGAACAUGAAUGAUAUGAACCUAGUGUUAGUAAACUUAGGUCGGACAUGAAGGACAAAUGAACCUAGUGUGAAUAUACAUAGGUUGGACAUCAAGUGGCAUUUAACCUAGUGUUAAAGAACAUAGGUUGGACAUGAACCUAGGGUUAAAGAAAGUAGUUAAACAAGGUUUAACCCAAAGUGACAUUGUGGCUUGGUAUUAGCGGUAUAUGCAUGAUUAGGUAAAAACCUAUCAUUGGCAUUGAGAUAUAGAGAUAUAGAACAGGUUGGCUAUACUUCCUCAAAUUGAGGAUGGGAUCGUACUCACAUGUAUCGGUUCCGGCUUGUGCGAGGUCGCUCCUCUACAGGCGGUGUACUCCGGAGUAUAGACACCACGGGUGAGAGAGCCCGGCAAAGAUCCCUCAGGUGACAGUGCCUUGUGCCUUCCUCGGUAGACGGGAUGGAUCCCUCGGGGCAUUUCCUAAUGCUAAACCCGGUAGAUGGGACAUAUGAGAUGUGAGCUUGGGGGGAACUUGAUGAACCCCGGAAAGAUUGGGUAAAGGCCAAAGUGAAUGUGUGAAAGUAUGCAUUAUGAGCCUGGAUGUAUGCGGUAUUCCGCAGAUGAUUGACUCGAGACCGAGUCGGGUAGUUAGCUUGGCUAAGGUAGAGGAAAACCUUAGGAGCAAAUAACCAACGAUGUAAAGUGACAAGAUGUAUAAAUUAUGAAAAAGCUAUGAAUAGCAUAAUAGAAAGUUAAAUCAUUUAUUCUAUUGUAUAGUUGCAUGAUUCGCAUAUAGCAUGGCAUUAUUGCAUUCGUGAGGCAAAACAUGGUUUUAUUAGUUGCAUAAUCAAGAUAUAUAUCUAUCUGUUUAUUGAACUAACCUAUUGUUGCCUCUUUUGGACCUAUUGGUCGAGCUUUUUCCUUGGGUGGCCGUACCCACUGGGAACCAUGGAGUUGGUUCUCGCCCCACGUUGUUUUGGAGUGUUACAGGUUCACACGUGAGCGGCGCGGCGGCGCGAGGCGAGGGCAUAGCUCCGUAGUUAGCGCUCUACCACUGAGACCAGAGAUAGCGGUACCCUGAGUCGGCUUUACUUAGGGAUGUAAGAAAAUGAAAGGGAUAGGAUUGCAAUAAUUUGUAAUAAAAGCAUAAUUGUAUUUGGAAGUGAAAUGUAUUAUGUAAUUGUGAUGUAAAAUGUAUCUAAAUAAUGUGAAUGCUUGUAAUAGCAAGUAGCUUAUGUUUUUUAUACUUCCUUAUGCAAUCUUUGAUUGAAAUGUGUUCCUGGUUGGAACUUCAUACAUUGUAUUGAUUGCGACGCCUUGAAUGUACAGGGGAGACUCUGUCCG